rnacentral:tRNA from 1 species
UCCCGGAUGGCGCAGUGGUUAACGCAACAGUCUAGUAAGCAGGAGAUCCUGGGUUCGAAUCCCAGUCCGGCAC